GCGGUGCGGCUUUCCAUGAAAGGAUACGCAGCAACGAGGAAAGUCUGGACAUCAAAGAACGGCUAGCUUCUUAACGCGAAGGUACCCGUGAGGGUAGGGAUUCCGCAGAAGAAAAGAACCGCCCGGCGUGCUGUUAGGCAGGGCUGGGUAAGGGUGAGAAGGCGAGGUAAGAGCUCACCGGUUGGCUGGCGACAGCUUUCGCAGUGCGGACCCUAGCGAUGCAAGGCCAUGUAGACCUCGAUAGCUCUCGGGAAGAGCUCUCCGGCUGUUCGUUGGAGUUUGCCUUGGGCAGAGUCGGGGAGGGUAGGUUGCUUGAGGCUACGGGUGACCGUAGCCCUAGAGAAAUGACGUCAGGCCACGCAAGGUUCGCCACUUUCACGGUGGCGAUGGUGCGAGGUUACAGAAUCCGGCUUAUAUGGUAUCUC
rnacentral:RNase_P_RNA from 1 species